GGAGCAGAACAUGUGCCAAGUCCCAGAAGUGAGUCACAGCCAGAGCAGGAGCAGAGCGAGUGCAGACCAAGCUGGGACUUAAGUUGUGGCCAGAGGAUGGGUCCUGGAGGAGAGUCCAGGGCAGAGACUAGCACAUGAGGGCCUCAUGUACUGAACUCUGGCAGCUUGCAAAGCAUCUCACCAUGCAACGUGGAAGGCCCACAGCAGAACUGCGAGUUGCAGCAUCAGGUGUUGCAUUGCCAGUUUUUAAUCCUCUGUGACUUUUCGAGAAUCUAAGAUGCCUUGGAAGACUGCUAUCGGUGGAUCAGUGAAGUGCUUCAAAUCAAAUGUUACCAGGCAGGAUUUAUUGACUACUUGUGAGGCAUAGUCAAACUUUAGCGAGAUUGAGGAUGGUAUCGUGGAAGAAUACAUCAUGGGAAUCAGGGGAGGGUAUAUAAAACAGCUGAAAUUUAAUUUAUAAAUCCCCCAAUCUGUCCUGGCACAAUCAGCCCAAUAGCUCAACACUAAUGAUCACACUGCCAACAUGCAUCUCUCUUCAUCUGCCCUUUUAUCACAUGAUUUUAUUUCAGGUUUCCCUGAUACCUUAUGGUUUUCGAAUAAUUGAUUUUGUGCAUUUAUUGUGUUUA